AAGUCGUAACAAGGUUUCCGUAGGUGAACCUGCGGAAGGAUCAUUAACACGUUCCAAAACGUAUCAACCAAACGGUUAAGUGCAAACUUAUUCCCUAAUGAAGGGAGCUGUGCAAUUGUCUUUAGUGAUGGGUGGGUCUUCGGACUCGCAAAGGCAAUUGGACUAGGGUCUCGAGCCCGAAGCUCCUUUUUUUAGGCUUUUCCCCUUUUUUUCCAUCACUUUCAACCCACCACUUUCACCCCUUUGAACCUUCUGACUAAAUCUUUCGAACGAAGAAAUUUGUUUGGAAUUGUAUAUCUAACACUGUACAACUCUUAGCAAUGGAUAUCUUGGUUCUC
rnacentral:misc_RNA from 1 species